UAUUAUCAAUUUGCUUUCUUGUUUUCAUUCGCUGCAAAAUUGAAAAGAUAUGACGGACAUGACGAUGAAUGGAGUCCUGUCUAACCUGCGCAGCGUAAUUUGGCGAUUAUGUUCCGGUCAAAUCACAACCAAUAUCCGGAUGCUCACCGUAUGCCGUCACGGAAGAAAAUUAUUUUGGAGGAAUACAACUUUAAGAACCUCUUGUUCAGUACCGUGUUGGCUGUCGGAAUUGUGGAAUUGGCAUAACCGGAACACCGUAACGAUGGCAAACAAAUCCGUCAUGAUGGAUCUCCAGAGAGCAACGAUUCAAUGCUAUGCUCGAUUGAUCAAUAAUUCGUUUAAAAGUGAUGAUAGUUAGUGUGUUUUGUACUGAAAAAAGUGAUAAAUAAAUGGAUAAACUUCGAAA